rnacentral:rRNA from 1 species
AUAUGGUCAAGUUACUAAGGGUGUAUGGGGGAUGUCUAGGCGUCGAGAGGCGAUGAAGGACGUGGCAGGCUGCGAUAAGCCCGGGGCAGGUGCCGAGCAACCGUUAAUCCCGGGAUCUCCGAAUGGGGAAACCCGAUGGGCAGGGGCAACCUAUGCCCAUCACUGGCGGAUGAAUGCAUAGUCCGUCAGGGCGAACGCGGGGAACUGAAACAUCUCAGUACCCGCAGGAAAGGAAAUCAACCGAGACUCCGUCAGUAGCGGCGAGCGAAAGCGGAUCAGCCCAAACCAGGGGGCUUGCUCCCUGGGGUUGUGGGCGCCGACAUCAGCAGGUGGAUGGUUAGCAGAAUCCGCUGGAAAGCGGAACCAUAGAGGGUGACAGUCCCGUAUGCGAAAACUUGAAACCUGUGUUGGCGUUCCAGAGUAGCACGGAGCUCGUGGAACUCCGUGUGAAGCUGGGGGGCCCACCCUCCAAGGCUAAGUACUACUCGACGACCGAUAGUGGACCAGUAAGGUGACUGAACGAUGAAAAGUACCCCUAUUAGGGGAGUUAAAAGUACCUGAAACCAUACACCUACCAAGCUGUGGGAGCCCUAUGCCCCGAUCUCGUAUCGGGGAACGGGUGACUGCGUGCCUUUUGCAUAAUGAACCGGCGAGUUACCCUCUGUGGCAAGGUUAAGCACCUCAGGUGCGGAGCCGUAGCGAAAGCGAGUCUGAAUAGGGCGUCAUAGUCGCAGGGGGUAGACGCGAAACCACGUGAUCUACACAUGGCCAGGUUGAAAGGGAUGUAAGAGUCCCUGGAGGACCGAACUCACUAGCGUUGAAAAGCUAGGGGAUGAGCUGUGUGGAGGAGUAAAAGUCUAAUCAAACGUGGAGAUAGCUCGUUCUCUCCGAAAUAGCUUUAGGGCUAGCCUCGGGACACUACUUUACGGGGGUAGAGACACUGGAUGGGGAUGGGGGGCCACCAGCCUGCCUGCUCCAACCAAACUCCGAAUACCGUAGAGACUAUCCCGGGAGUCAGUCUGCGGGCGAUAACGUUCGUGGUCGAGAGGGCAAGAACCCAGAUCGCCAGCUAAGGUCCCUAAGUCGUGCUAAGUUCUAAAGGAGGUCGAAUUGCUGUGACAGCCAGGAUGUUGGCUUAGAAGCAGCCACCAUUUAAAAAGUGCGUAACAGCUUACUGGCCGAGCAGUUUGGCGCCGAUAAUGAUCGGGAAUAAGCACGACACCGAAGCUGCGGAUUUGCAGUCGGCUUGCCGAUUGCAAGUGGUAGGAGAGCGUAGUAGUCAGCGGUGAAGCCGUACGGUAACGAGCGGUGGAGCGGCUACUAGUGAUUAUGCCGGUAUGAGUAACGAUAAACCAGGUGAGAAUCCUGGUCGCCGUAAGCCUAAGGGUUCCUGGGGAAGGUAAAUCCGCCCAGGGUUAGUCGGCACCUUAGUCGAGGCCGAAAGGCGUAGACGAUGGACAGCAGGUUAAUAUUCCUGCACCACGUUGCCUGACGAGGGCAGUGACGCAUCCUUUAAGGUCAUCCAGCGAUCAGUAGUGCUGGUACCGCAAGGUCGAGGCCGAUUUACGAUGCCGAAGUGACUGGCGAGGGUGCCGAGAAAUAGCUGUCGUAGGUUGAAGGCAGCGCGACCGUACUAAAACUGACACAGGUAGGCGAGGAGAAUAUCCUAAGGCGCUCGAGAGAACGGUCUUUAAGGAACUAGGCAAUUUGACCCCGUACGUUCGCAAGAAGGGGUUCCUCCAGGCGCAUUUAGCAAUAAGUGCGUGCUGAGGACGCAGAGAAGUGGCUCUGGCGACUGUUUACCAAAAACACAGUUCUGUGCCAACACGUAAAGUGGAGGUAUACAGAAUGACGCGUGCUCGGUGCCGGAAGGUUAAAGGAAGGGGUUAUCCCGAGCAAUCGGGAGAAGCUCUGACCCGAAGCCCCGGUAAACGGCGGCCGUAACUAUGACGGUCCUAAGGUAGCGAAGUUCCUUGUCGGGUAAGUUCCGACGUGCAUGAACCGCGUAACGACUGGAGCACUGUCUCAAAGACCGACUCGGUGAAAUUGUAGAUGCGGUGAAGAUACCGCAUACCCGCGGCAAGACGGAAAGACCCCGUGAACCUUUACUGUAGCCUGGUAUUGAUGCCUGGCAUGUCAUGCGUAGUAUAGGUGGGAGGCGAUGAAGCCCUGGUUCCGGCUGGGGCAGAGCCGACGUUGAAAUACCACCCUUGAUAUGUUAGUCACCUAACCCUGGCCCGUUUAUCCGGGCAGGGAACAGUGCCAGGUGGGCAGUUUGACUGGGGCGGUCUCCUCCUAAAAGGUAACGGAGGAGUUCAAAGGUACCCUCAGCGUGGUUGGCAAUCACGCAUUGAGCGCAAGGGUAUAAGGGUGCUUGACUGUGAGACCUAUAGGUCGAGCAGGUGCGAAAGCAGGACCUAGUGAUCCGGCGAUCCCGUGUGGAAGGGUCGUCGCUCAACAGAUAAAAGGUACUCUGGGGAUAACAGGCUGAUCUCCCCCGAGCGUUCACAGCGGCGGGGAGGUUUGGCACCUCGAUGUCGGCCCAUCACAUCCUGGGGCUGAAGGCGGUCCCAAGGGUUCGGCUGUUCGCCGAUUAAAGUGGUACGCGAGCUGGGUUCAGACCGGCGUGAGCCAGGUCGGUCCCUAUCUGCCGUGGGCGUAGGAAUCUUGAGGGGAUGUUUCCAUAGUACGAGAGGAUUUGGAAGCACCGACCCCUGGUGUACCGGUUGUCGCGCUAGCGGCACGGCCGGGUAGCUAUGUCGGGAAAGGAUAACCGCUGAAGGCAUCUAAGCGGGAAGCCCACCCCAAGAUGAGGAUUCCAUGCGACUUAGUCGCGAGAGGGCCCAGAUAGACUAUCUGGUUGAUAGGCCGGAGGUGUACAUGGAGAAAUCCAUUGAGCUAACCGGUACUAACGCCCGAUCACUUGACCAUAU